rnacentral:miRNA from 1 species
AUAUAAAUAUAUAGUCCUGAUCUCUUGGACUACAGGGAUCCAAGAGAUUUGUGGUCACUCACCGUUGGAUGUAAAUUCAACGGUUCACUCACUCUUACACUCAUUUUAAGAAACUUUUUUGAACCAUUGGAUUAAUAUUUAACGGUGGGUGACCACAAUCUCUUGGACUCCUGUGGUCCAAGAGAUCGGGACCGUAUAUAUAUAU